rnacentral:rRNA from 1 species
CCUACGGGCGGCAGCAGUGAGGAAUAUUGGUCAAUGGGAGAGAUCCUGAACCAGCCAAGCCGCGUGAGGGAAGACGGCCCUAUGGGUUGUAAACCUCUUUUGUCGGAGAACAAAACCCGGGACGUGUCCCGGACUGCGUGUAUCCGAAGAAACAGCAUCGGCUAACUCCGUGCCAGCAGCCGCGGUAAUACGGAGGAAGCGAGCGUUAUACGGAUUUAUUGGGUUUAAAGGGUGCGUAGGCGGUCCGUUAAGUCAGCGGGAAAAUUGCGGGGCUCAACCCCGUCGAGCCGUUGAAACUGGCAGACUUGAGUUGGCGAGAAGUACGCGGAAUGCGCGGUGUAGCGGUGAAAUGCAUAGAUAUCGCGCAGAACUCCGAUUGCGAAGGCAGCGUACCGGCGCCAGACUGACGCUGAGGCACGAAAGCGUGGGGAUCGAACAGGAUUAGAUACCCGAGUAGUC